UUGGCUUAGUGGAUACAGAUGCUUGCCACUCAAACCUCGUGACCUGAGUUCAAGCCCCCAAACUCACAUUAGGUCCAAAGAAGAAAACUGACUGCACAAAGUUUGGAUAUGGCUUUCAAAUGACCAUGGGUCCACCAAUACAAGAUGAAGGUUUUAAAAGAGCCACAGAGAUGAAAUCAGGCUUUGUAUGUCUGUGGUUUCUGCUUUCACUGGAUUUCCUAUCUAAUUUUGAUAACAGUUCCCCCAACGUCAUUCUUGAGUCAUAAUUAAUAAACAAGGCGGGGUCACUACCAAGAAGGGCGGAAGAAUGCAGCCAGUUCACCUGCCUAGGACUAAGACGGUUUGCAACUGGACUCCCUCAGGGAGAAGUGGAGGAUGACUAACCGAUGACUUUAUGCCCAACCACCUCUCCAAAGCAGGAUGACAGUAACUCUGAGAGCUGGGAUGCGAGCAGACCAGCGUGGUAUGUUGCUGUAACGAUGGAGGGCAGCCUGGGCUGGCAAGGGGGGAAAGGCUGUGGACAAAUAACUUGUACCAUUGGCUCAGCUCCCUGUGGUGGUCACAAGCCCAAAGGGUAACCAGCCUUGACUUGUUCCUCGCCUUGGAAGGAUAAGCAAGCUUCUCUGGUCAUACUGAAACACCCAGGCGGCUCCCAUAAAGAAUGCCAGUUCUGGAGAGACAUCUUUGUCCUUUUGAGUCUGAAGCAGGAUAUUGCCUCCCUGAGUUGCCGGGGACCUUGGGAUGUUAGGGUCCUCUGGAACUGGAGCACAGACCACAUGCAAGGGUUGAGUGUGGGGUGCAGGGCUUCCUGCUUGCACUGAAGACUUUCUGAUAAGGAUUUCAGCCUUGAAGGUCGCGCCCAUCUAAACAGCCGAAUUCGAGUGCACGUCAGAGGUGGUGUUUCUGGCGAAGCGGACUGAAGAACCCGCCAGGACUCUGCGACUCGAGCAGAGCCGCUCAAGCGCAAGGACCAACACAAACAGAAGACACUACAAUGUAGUUCUUCCAAACUUU